UACGAAGGGGGCUAGCGUUGCUCGGAAUGACUGGGCGUAAAGGGCGCGUAGGCGGAUGACACAGUCAGAUGUGAAAUUCCCGGGCUUAACCUGGGGGCUGCAUUUGAUACGUGUUGUCUAGAGUGAGGAAGAGGGUUGUGGAAUUCCCAGUGUAGAGGUGAAAUUCGUAGAUAUUCGCAAGAACACCAGUGGCGAAGGCGGCUCACUGGCCCGGUACUGACGCUGAGGUGCGAAAGCGUGGGGAGCAAACAGG
rnacentral:rRNA from 1 species